rnacentral:rRNA from 1 species
UACGUAGGGUACGAGCGUUGUCCGGAAUCAUUGGGCGUAAAGCGCGCGUAGGCGGCCCGGAAAGUCGGAUGUGAAAUCCCGGGGCUCAACCCCGGGCCUGCAUCCGAUACUCCCGGGCUGGAGGCAGGUAGGGGAGAUCGGAAUUCCUGGUGUAGCGGUGAAAUGCGCAGAUAUCAGGAGGAACACCGGUGGCGAAGGCGGAUCUCUGGGCCUUGCCUGACGCUGAGGCGCGAAAGCUAGGGGAGCGAACAGG